rnacentral:rRNA from 1 species
GGUGAACGCUGGCGGCGUGCUUAAGACAUGCAAGUCGAACGGCAGUCUUCGGACUGUAGUGGCGCACGGGUGAGUAACGCGUAACUGACCUACCCCAAAGUCGCGGAUAACGAUUCGAAAGAAUCGCUAAUACGUGAUGUGCUGUCAGAUUGUGUUCUGCCAGUAAAGAUUGAUUGCUUUGGGAUGGGGUUGCGUUCCAUCAGCUAGUUGGUGGGGUAAAGGCCCACCAAGGCGACGACGGAUAGCCGGCCUGAGAAGGUGGCCGGGCACAGGGGCACUGGGACACGGGUCCCACUCCUACGGGAGGAAGCAGUUAGCAAUCUUCCACAAUGGGCGAAAGCCUGAUGGAGCGACGCCGCGUGAGGGAUGAAGGUCUUCGGAUCGUAAACCUCUGAAUCAGGGACGAAAGACACUUCGGUGGGAUGACGGUACCUGAGUAAUAGCACCGGCUAACUCCGUGCCAGCAGCCGCAGUAAGAC